UGAUCCUGGCUCAGCGCGAACGCUGGCGGCAUGGCUAAAACAUGCAAGUCGAACGCGAAAGUACUUCGGGUGCGAGUAAAGUGGCGAAAGGGCGAGUAACGCAUUCCUAACGUGCCCCCAGGUCAGGGAUAGCGUCGAGAAAUCGGCGGUAAUAACUGAUGACCCCACCGUGUCGCAUGGCGGCCGAGGCAAAGGCUUGCUGCCUAGGGAUCGGGAAAUCUCCUAUCAGCUUGUUGGUGAGGUAAUGGCUCACCAAGGCGAAGACGGGUAGCGGGUGUGAGAGCAUGGCCCGCCGCAUCGGGACUGAGACACUGCCCGGACUCCUACGGGAGGCUGCAGUAACGAAUAUUCCGCAAUGCACGAAAGCGUGACGGAGCAAUGCCGCGUGAAGGACGAAGCACUUCGGUGUGUAAACUUCUGUCAGGGACUAGCAAAACAAUGAGCAAUCCCAGAGGAAGGGCCGGCUAAGUUCGUGCCAGCAGCCGCGGUAAUACGAAGGGCCCGAGCGUUGCGCGGAAUCAUUGGGCUUAAAGGGUGCGUAGGCGGAUCUGUAAGUACUUUGUGAAAGCCCUCGGCUCAACCGAGGAAUUGCUUGGUAUACUGCAAAUCUUGAGAUUGGUAGGGGUGGUCGGAACAGUAGGUGGAGCGGUGAAAUGCAUAGAUAUCUACUGGAACGCCAAAGGUGAAGACAGGCCACUGGGCCAAUUCUGACGCUGAGGCACGAAAGCGUGGGGAGCGAACGGGAUUAGAUACCCCGGUAGUCCACGCCCUAAACGAUGUGCACUAAAUCCCGGAGGUUUUGACGCCCUCGGGGUUGCAGCGAAAGCAUUAAGUGCACCGCCUGGGGAGUACGGUCGCAAGGCUAAAACUCAAAGGAAUUGACGGGGGCUCACACAAGCGGUGGAGCAUGUGGCUUAAUUCGAAGCAACGCGAAGAACCUUAUCCUGGAUUUGACAUGUAUGGAUUAACUCCUUGAAAGAGGAGCCACGGCCCUCGGGUGGAACAUACACAGGUGCUGCAUGGCUGUCGUCAGCUCGUGCUGUGAAGUGUCGGGUUAAGUCCCUUAACGAGCGAAACCCCUGUCGCUAGAUGCCAGCGGGGCAGCGGGUGCCGGGGACUCUAGCGAGACUGCCGGUGUCAAACCGGAGGAAGGUGGGGAUGACGUCAAGUCCUCAUGGCCUUUAUGUCCAGGGCUGCACACGUGCUACAAUGGCGUGCACAGAGCGACGCGAUACCGCGAGGUGGAGCAAAUCGCAAAAAACACGCCCCAGUUCGGAUUGGAGUCUGCAACUCGACUCCAUGAAGGUGGAAUCGCUAGUAAUCGCGUAUCAGCUACGACGCGGUGAAUACGUUCCUGAGCCUUGUACACACCGCCCGUCAAGUCAUGGAAGCCGGGAGCGCCCGAAGUGGCCCUGUUUCAUGGGUGCCUA
rnacentral:rRNA from 1 species